rnacentral:rRNA from 1 species
GUGCCAGCCGCCGCGGUAAUACGUAGGGUGCGAGCGUUAAUCGGAAUUACUGGGCGUAAAGCGUGCGCAGGCGGUUUUGUAAGUCAGAUGUGAAAUCCCCGAGCUCAACUUGGGAACUGCGUUUGAAACUACAAGACUAGAAUAGGUCAGAGGGGGGUAGAAUUCCACGUGUAGCAGUGAAAUGCGUAGAGAUGUGGAGGAAUAUCAAUGGCGAAGGCAGCCCCCUGGGAUCAUAUUGACGCUCAUGCACGAAAGCGAGGGGAGCAAACAGGAUUAGAUACCCUGGUAGUCCACGCCCUAAACGAUGUCAACUAGUUGUUGGUAGAGUAAAAUCUAUGAGUAACGCAGCUAACGCGUGAAGUUGACCGCCUGGGGAGUACGAUCGCAAGAUUAAAACUCAAAUGAAUUGACGGGGGCCCGCACAAGCGGUGGAUUAUGUGGAUUAAUUCGAUGCAACGCGAAAAACCUUACCUGGCCUUGACAUGUACGGAACUUUCCAGAGAUGGAUUGGUGCUCGAAAGAGAACCGUAACACAGGUGCUGCAUGGCUGUCGUCAGCUCGUGUCGUGAGAUGUUGGGUUAAGUCCCGCAACGAGCGCAACCCUUGCCAAUAAUUGCCAUCAUUUAGUUGGGCACUUUAUUGGGACUGCCGAUGACAAAUCGGAGGAAGGUGGGGAUGACGUCAAGUCCUCAUGGCCCUUAUGGCCAGGGCUUCACACGUAAUACAAUGGUCGGUACAGAGGGUUGCCAAGCCGCAAGGUGGAGCCAAUCCCAGAAAGCCGAUCGUAGUCCGGAUUGAGGUCUGCAACUCGACCUCAUGAAGUCGGAAUCGCUAGUAAUCGCGGAUCAGCAUGUCGCGGUGAAUACGUUCCCGGGCCUUGUACACACCGCCCGUCACACCAUGGGAGUGGGUUUUACCAGAAGUAGGUAGUCUAACCGCAAGGGGGACGCUUACCACGGUAGUAUUCAUGACUGGGGUGAAGUCGUAACAAGGUAACC